GGGGGCGACUGGCUUCGACGGGUCAGGAGAAUGUGGAGACGCGUGCCCAGGACCAGGCCCUGGUAAAACACUUGGAAAAUUUUAUCUGCCAACUCUAACUUGGCAUUGGCUGCGUAAGCUGAGCUAAGCUCGCUUACCGCACCACCGGAGAAGGGAGCCUGCCUGGGGCGCCUCAACCGGACCGCAAAUUCAGGCUGGCUCGUGGCGGCGUCCUCACGUCCCGAGUAAGAAAACGAGGGCUCGGCUCGACGAAGGAUGGCCGGUAGCCGGCGUCGGACUAGCGCACGAAGAUCGGCCUACGCACGUAGUGGCUUUGCUGGAUGCUGAUUCGGACCAGGGUUCGAUUCCCUGCGCCUCCAUUG
rnacentral:tmRNA from 1 species